rnacentral:rRNA from 1 species
CCUACGGGCGACAGCAGUGGGGAAUAUUGCACAAUGGGGGAAACCCUGAUGCAGCGACGCCGCGUGAGUGAAGAAGUUUUUCGGUAUGUAAAGCUCUAUUAGCAGGGAAGAAAAUGACGGUACCUGACUAAGAAGCCCUGGCUAACUACGUGCCAGCAGCCGCGGUCAUACGUAGGGGGCAAGCGUUAUCCGGAUUUACUGGGUGUAAAGGGAGCGUAGACGGUCAUACAAGUCAGAAGUGAAAGCCCAGGGCUCAAACCUGGGACUGCAUUUGAAACUGCCGAGCUGGAGUGCAGGAGAGGUAAGCGGAAUUCCAGGUGUAGCGGUGAAAUGCGUAGA